UUGGCAGAAUGUAAAAGGA
rnacentral:misc_RNA from 1 species